AGAUAAAUGUUAAUUGCAGAGUGAACUGUGACGCAAGCGAAGUCAUUCUAACCCGAUCGGGUCGAUCCAGACGGCGCUGGAGCAGUUCUUCAGAGAGGAGGGUAUAGAGUAUGCCUGCGGAGAAUGUGACUGCAAGCAGGCUAUAGUCACGCAUAAGUUCACUAAGCUACCAAGGGUAAUUAUCAUUCAUCUUAAGCGCUACAAAUUUGACGCCUGACGCCUUCCAGUACUCCAAGCUCCGUCGCCGCAUCCUCAUACCCAGGUACUUGUCCGUCCACUACCACUGCACCAAGGAAACCCAGAGUCCAACCUUUCUCCCAAAGUCAUUAGUCAACGGGACGUCAUCUCCAAGGCCACAACAACUCAAUGCCGAGAGAACUCAAAGGUUGUCCCUCACAGCCCCGUCGACGAGGGAAUCUAAUUGGUCUGCAAGGAGCGAGUCGUUUAAGCCCUCGCGCUUCAGUUUUGCGCCCUCAAGGAAGAGGCUGAACUAUGACGACAACAGUAAACAACCAAGGCAAACCAUUCUCCUGGAAAGUAACACAGACUCAGACGAUGACGAGACCAAAAAAGUCUUAUAGAUGAGUAAAAAAGAGUCGGAGAGAAAAAAGCGAGAGGCAGAUGAGAGGAAUCCUUGAGAAGAUGACACUCUGAGAUGUGCAGGAAGAUGUGUGGGGAGGCAGCCCACCUGCAAGGCCUCCCCUGAAAUGGCUGCUGAAGAGACACGAGUACAUAAAGUGCCAUAGAAGCUUUACUGAAAUUAGUGAAAUAUGCCAUCAUCCUGCAAUACACACAUGGUCUAAAAGAGAAAUGACAAGACAAGCACAUAAGAAAAUGAGAUGAUGGAAAACCUCUUUAGUUGUUUGUGUUCUGCUCAGAUGUUGCCUAGCGACAAGGGAUGCUCAGUACUUUGAUAACAUCUUCUCCACAUUGGGAGAGAUUGAAAGAGAACAGGUGAUGAGGAGGGUGACUCCAGGAAUGCGGCCCCAUUACAAUGUGAGCAUGAGGCGACCACGGACACAUGUUUAUGCCAGACUGCAACACUGUACUAAUGAAACUCAAUGCAUGCAUCAAGGACAUUCACCAAAGAGCCACUGCAAACAAGAUGAUGCUUAAUGCUGCAAAGCAUUGGUUCUUCAUUUUACAUCAAGAUUUUCACAACAGCCACUUCCAGUCAUUUCCAUCACGGUUGGUGAUGUGAAACCACUCAACGAAAGCCAGAAAUCUCUGUGCAGUCAUGGAUGAACAUCUACAUGUAUCACCGAAGGCCCAUGUCUCUACCCUAUAUGCCGCUCUUAAAUUACUGUCAUCCAAAGAUGUUUUAAAUUUAGAAAAUAAUGAUCCACACAAAUACACCUGGAAAUUGUUUAGUUUUCCUUGGCCGUC